UCUCCGUAGGUGAACCUGCGGAGGGAUCAUACAGAGUUCAUGCCCUACCGGGUAGCUCUCCCACCCUAUGUUCUUAUUACUUUGUUGCUUUGGCGGGCCGUUAGGCUCCGGCCCGACUACCGGCCCCGGCUGGUAAGCGCCCGCCAGAGGACCCAAAACCCUGAAUAUUAGUGUCGUCUGAGUACUAUAUAAUAGUUAAAACUUUCAACAACGGAUCUCUUGGUUCUG
rnacentral:misc_RNA from 1 species